rnacentral:rRNA from 1 species
GACGAACGCUGGCGGCGUGCUUAACACAUGCAAGUCGAACGAAGUGGCGAACGGGUGAGUAACGCGUAAUCAACCUGCCCUUCAGAGGGGGACAACAGUUGGAAACGACUGCUAAUACCGCAUACUGAAGGAGGGGAUUGCGUCGGAUUAGCUCGUUGGAGGGGUAACGGCCCACCAAGGCGAUGAUCAGUAGCCGGUCUGGGAGGAUGAACGGCCACAUUGGGACCUGAAAACGGCCCAGACUCCUUCCGGGGGCAGCAGUGGGGGAACUUCCGCAAUGGGCGAAAGGCUUACGGAGCAACGCCGCGGGAGUGAUGACGGGCUUCGGGUUGUAAAGGUCUGUUAAUCGGGACGCGGUACCGGAAGAGAAAGCCACGGCUAACUACGUGCCAGCAGCCGCGGUAAUAC